AGCUCCAUCCGUUUCCUCUUUAAAUAGCUGCGUCUAACUUUGAACCCUAAUCAAGUUAUCCGAGAAUCGGCCACUCAAAGCUUAUUAUCAAUCUAUAUAGUUCGAUAGAUCUCUGUGCUAAUUUUUUUUCUUGCGAUUUGUUUUUAUGGUUUAUGUGUUUUGGUGGUUUUUUUAAUGUCAAUCGGGACUGGAGUUUGACUCUUUAGCAAAAUAACGAUGCCAUAGAGAUGAAUGCAGCGCCCUAAAUAAAAAAGACCACAAUCGGAGAUCUAUCUCAGUUCUGUCCGAAAUCGAUUCCCUCGAUAUUGGACGCUGAGAUAGUUCUCACAUGUUUUAAUCUCUGCUUGUUUUUAUUUGAUUUUAUGAAUGAUUAUGAUAUGAUUCGUAAUGGGAGCGGUGAUUCAGGCAACCUACUUGUUAAUAAAACAAUGACAUGAGAGGCCAGAUCUUGUCUGAUUGUGUUUCGUCCGGUUUAUUUCGGAUUCCUAAAGAAGAAGGGUUUCGAUUGCACCUAGGCCCAUUUCUACCGUCUAUAGUUAUUGUCAUUGGUCUACUGGACAUGAAAAAUUAUAUUAAUGGAUAUGACAUGUCUAUUUUACUAAUUAGAGGAAAAUAUCUAAUGUAUCUGCACAAUCCUACAUAACAUACCAGGCGA